GUGGUAGGGUUUAUGGGGUGCAUUGUCGGGGUGUGGUGUGGUUUAUGGGGUGCAUUGUCGGGAUGUGAUGGGGUGCACUGUCGGGGUGUGGUGUGGUUUAUGGGGUGCAUUGUCGGGAUGUGAUGGGAUGCAUUGUCGGGGUGUGGUAGGGUUUAUGGGGUGCAUUGUCGGGGUGUGGUGUGGUUUAUGGGGUGCAUUGUCGGGAUGCGAUGGGGUGCAUUGUCGGGUGUGGUAGGGUUUAUGGGGUGCACUGUCGGGGUGUGGUAGGGUUUAUGGGGUGCAUUGUCGAGGUGUGGUAGGGUUUAUCGGGUGCAUUGUCGUGAUGUGGUGAGGUUUAUGGGGUGCAUUGUCGGGGUGUGGUGGGGUUUAUGGGGUGCAUUAUCGGGAUGUGAUGGGGUGCAUUGUCGGGGUGUGGUAGAGUUUAUGGGGGUGCAUUGUCAGAGUGUGGUGGGGUUUAUUGGGUGCACUCUCGGGGUGUGGUAGGGUUUAUGGGGUGCAUUGUCGGGGUGUGGUGUGGUUUAUGGGGUGCAUUGUCGGGAUGUGAUGGGGUGCAUUGUAGGGGGGUGGUAGGAUUUAUGGGGUGCAUUGUCGGAGUGUAUUGCAGUUUAUGGGGUGCAUUGUCGGGGUGUGGUAGGGUUUAUGGGGUGCAUUGUCGGGGUGUGGUGGGGUUUAUGGGGUGCAUUGUCAGGGUGUGGUAGGGUUUAUGGGGUGCAUUGUCGGGGUGUGGUGGGGUUUAUGGGGUGCAUUGUCGGGGUGUUGUAGGGUUAUUCUUAGGCUAUGGUGGAGUGGAUGGAGUGUAUUCACAGGCUAUGGUGGAGUGUAAUUCUCGGUGUGUGCAAUGGGGUAUAUUAUGUGUAUCAUCGGGUGUAGUGGGGUGUAUGGAGUGUAUUAUCUGGGUGUAUGGAGUGUAAUUAUUGGAGUGUGUUGGGGUGUAUUAUCGUGUGUGGUGGGGUGUAUUAUCGGGGUGUGGUAUGUUGUAUUAUCGGAAAUGUGUAUUAUCGGGGUGUGGUGGGGUGUAUUAUCAGGUGUGGUGGGGUGUAUUAUCGGAGUGUGGUGAGGUCUAUUAUCAGGUGUGGUGAGGUGUAUUAUCGGGUGUGGUGGGGUGUAUUAUGGGAGUGUGGUAUGUUGUAUUAUCGGAAUGUGGUGAGGUGUAUUAUCGGAGUGUGGUAUGUUGUAUUAUCGGGGUGUGGUGAGGUGUAUUACCGGGGUGUGGUGAAGUGUAUUAUCGGGGUGUGGUAGGGUGUAUUAUCGGGGUGUGGUAGGGUGUAUUAUCGGGAUGUAGUCAGGUGUAUUAUCGGAGUGUGUUGGGGGUGUAUUAUCGGGUGUGGUGGGGUGUAUUAUCGGGGUGUAGUAUGUUGUAUUAUCGGGGUGUGGUGAGGUGUAUUAUUGAGGUGUGAUGGGGUGUAUUAUCGGGGUGUGGUAGGGUGUAUUAUCGGAAUGUGGUGAGGUGUAUUAUCGGGGCGUGGUGGGAUGUAUAAUUGGGGUGUGGUAGGGUGUAUUAUCGGAGUGUGGUAAGGUGUAUUAUCGGGGGUGGUGAGGUGUAUCAUCGAGCUGUGGUGAGGUGUGUUACCGGUGUAUAGUGUAUUAGGUGUAUCAGUAUGUGGUGGAGUGAAUUAGGUGUAUUCUGGAGGUGUGUUGGCGUGGAUUAUAUGUAUUCUGGAGGUGUGGAUUAAGUGUAUUCUGAAGGUAUGCGGUAAUGUGAAUCAGGUGUAUUCUGAAGGUAUGGAUUGGUAUAUUCUGAAGGUAUGGAUUAGGUGUAUUCUUGAGGUGUGGAUUAGGUGUAUUAUGGAGGUGUGGAUUAGGUGUAUUAUGGAUGUGUGGAUUAGGUGCAUUCUGGAGGUAUGCGGUGAUGUGAAUCAGGUGUAUUCUGAAGGUAUGGAUUGGUAUAUUCUGAAGGUAUGGAAUAGGUGUAUUAUGGAGGUGUGGAUUAGGUGUAUUAUGGAGGUGUUGAUUAGGUGCAUUCUGGAGGUAUGUGGUGAGGUGAAUCAGGUGUAUUCUGAAAGUAUGGAUUGGUAUAUUCUGAAGGUAUGGAUUAGGUGUAUUCUGAAGGUAUGGAUUGGUGUAUUCUGAAGAUAUGGAUUAGUUGUAUUCUUGAGGUGUGGAUUAGGUGUAUUCUGUGGGUUUAGAUUAAGUGUAUUCUGGAGGUUUGAAUUAGGUGUUUUCUUGAGGUGGAGUGGCUGCGUUUUACUUCACAUCAUUCUUGUAAUACUAUACAGUUGCUUUCCUUUGGUUUAUCAAACCUAAAGACUCAUCACGUCGACAUAAAUAGACAUGUUUUGUAGUAACAGCUAUUUUUAUGGUUCCGCUUUAAUUAACCGACUUGAUUUAUGUCAGAAUCAUGUGUUUAUUUAAGAAAAAAAAUAAAUUGAAGGUUUUUCUUUUUAACUUUCAUUGUCAGUCAUCAAAACAUUUUAGAUUUAAUAAUCAAUUCUGUCACAUUUUAUGUGAAACAGGGAGGGAUUCGAACCCGUCCUCCCCCUAAUUAUCUAGCCAGGUGCUCUACCAGCCGAGUUGCGAUCGAACCCGUACGACUGCGCUAUAAAUACAGAAAAACAACCCCCAAACAAAUAUUUGUGACUUAAAUCAUCACGGAUAUUUGGGCAUUGUUUGGAUGUGGUUUCCAUUGAUUUGAAGUUGCUGCAUUGGAAUCGAAUAAGUUGACUUGAUUUAUAUUUGUGAAAUGAAGAUAAACAUGUUCCACAUAAUGCUACCGACAUGUCGCAGAGGAAACUCUGGAUGAGAACAUGUGUACCAGGCAGUAGAAAUCUAGCCAGGUGGACUUUGGCAUUACCUUAAACACUACCUUAGUCUGAUUUCAAAGAUUAAGUGGGGCUGCUUGAAACGAAUUUGAUGCUGAAGACACGAAUAAAAAAAACCAAAAAAACCCAGAAAAACAGCAUGCCUUCGUUUUAAGUGCAUUCAACAGAAAUACAUCGUAAACAAUCGUUUGACCCAUUUAUUUUGGGUGUGACCAUAUUGAGUAGCAGGAAGUGUUGUUUUAAAGUAUUCUUAAAAGAGCGAUAAAGCAUCUUGCAUGCGACAGCAGACGACACAAUGCGUAGAUUUAUAUCACACUUGGUUUUUCAUCACAUUAACUGUCGUGUACAAUAUCAUUCGGACAUCAAAACCAUGGAACCCUAACUAGCUUUUUUCUUCUAGUACAAUCCGGCGAUGGAUAAAAGGGAGAUAAAUCAAGAUAUACUGCGUGUAGAGAUUAUAUACAUAGGAAAGAUAACUCUGAUUGUGAGAGGUUGUAACUGGGCUUGUUUUCCUUUGACCAGUGCAAAAAUGUCACUAGGGGCCCAGGGCACAUGCUGUGAGUACAGUUGAACAAAUUGAUGACACCCCCCCCCCCCCACCAAAAAAAACAAAAACAACAACAACAAGAAAGUGGGUGUUUGACGGAAGAAGAAAAAGUCCUUUUGAGCGAAAAUGAAUUAAUUCAUUUGAGCGAAAUUUGAUAUUUGAGCAAGGAAAAUAAAACCCAUAUUAGUGUGAAAAAACUGAAACAUUGUGUACGUGACAUGCACUGUAGGGUUUCCGUUUGCCAGACUUAUUAAAUCUACUGACGCCUGCUAUUUUCAGAGUGCAGCAUUGUUCGUUGUUUUGUAUAAAAAGUAGUCUCCCGAGUAAAAAAUGUCUACAUCGUAAAAUCCCAUUAUUUCUUUGUUUGCAACUAUGUAUUGCUUCUUUCUAUUUUAGAAUUGUUAUGGGGUUUUUCUUUUUAAAAUAUAUUUUGUUUCAAUUUAAUUUUUGAAUGAAAAACUGCUGGUCAUCAUUUUAAAGAUAGCCUUAAAUUAGUGUCUUAUCAAAACCACAGAGAAAUGAAAAUCAACUUUCGGUUACAUGCCCAUCUGAAAAAAAAAUUCGUUCAAAUGUCUGAUGACUUAGCCAUAACCAUUGCAACAUACAAAGUCACAUUGAAUGCGCAAAACUAAUUUCCUUUAAUAGAUCUAAAAGUUUCAAAUUCUAAAUUGCCAAAAUACGUGAAAUUAAAUAUCUAGACUACAGGAAAUUUACUCUUCAAAGAUCACGGAAUAUUUCAUACCAACCAGACGGCUCUCAUAAAGCAUCGUGUUCUAUCAUAUAUUCUACAAAUACAUUUGAUAAAUUUACAACACACAACAGCGAUGUCAAAAGCAAAACUCUUAUUAACUAUUUUCAUGUAAACCUCAUUACAAUAUUGUCACAUUUUCAAAUAAUCCUGUUAUCAAUCAUAACUUUGUACUUGACCUUUGUAUUUGGGAGAGGGCCUAUGUAGUCUAUGCCUGUUGUCCGAUCCUAUUGAGUUUCUCAAUAAAAAUAUGUUUGAAUUAGCAUGUCGUAUAAUAACACUGUUCUGUAUGACUGAAUUUAAAAAUGAAACUGAAAAAAAAAAAUUCUAUCAGGUUGCCGUGUGCAUUAUAAUGAAAGAAAAUGUCUUUUUUAAACAAAUGUAUUCGGCAUAUGAUUAUUGAUAACUAUGUUACUGAUUGAAUUGAAAUGUUAUAUUUUGUAUGUGGUUAGUACAGUAGUACCAAAAUCCUUUGAGGAAAUCCCACUCCUAAAUUGACAGUAUUUUAUUCCAUCCACGUACAACAAACAUUUAUUUUUCAUGAUAAAUAUUUAAAUUGACACAUAUAUAUGUCCAACUGGGUCGGGUGUAAUGCCCAUGUACUAAUAAUAGUACUUACAUGCACUUCUGGUGAGGUCAUCUUGAACAGAUAUUAUCUAAAUAAACACAGUUGAAUACCUUAAAAAUAUUUUGAACUGCAUUUUCUUUACACACUGUCUGUUUUGUAUGAUUUAUGAAAGCUAGACACACCAUGGACACACCAGGGUAAGUCGUACAUACCCACAUAUGUUGAACAUCUCGAAAAUAAGCUCGUGUGAAAAAGUAAUAUGCUUCCCCGUGACAAUGAAUAUAUUAAUACAGAGAAAAAACAAUGAUAUCAAAUUGAAUUUUCCUAUGCCCCGUAUCGUCUUACAUUAAGCAUAAAACCCUGUGUCGUGAUCUGACAUUUAGUCCUAUCUUGUUACUCCGAGAGUACCACCCGAAAUGAAUGAUUCAUGAAGCACAGAUAGGCUUACCGUGCCAAGAAUCUGCUUUUCGUUCCAAAGAUCAAAUACCCCGGGAGCCGAGGUAUCUCAGACCACAGACAAAUUAAUUCAGCCGAUAAUUCUGUUUUUCAAUAACGACCGAACCAAUAUCUAUACCCAACGCAUGUCUGUAUUAUUGGGACUUUGCCGGGUGUUUUAAAUGACAUAUGUGCCAUUUAAAGUAAUAAUAUUUAACUGCGUGUAAAAAGGGGUGAGAGCUAAGGUUUUAAAUGGAUAUUGGUCGAUGUCGAAACUUGUACAGUUAGUCAUGGGGUGUAUCCCGGAGAUUUUUACCUCGUGACUGAGGCUCUCAGUUUUGACCACAUUUGAAUAUUUCGUUUGUGUUUUUAAUUCGUUGGAGUGACCCUGCGUCGGAAUAAAGGACAAGUGCCUUUUGCAAUACAACGAUUUUAAUCAAUGAAUUAUUAAUUCAUGACAGGGCAGUCGACGUGUUUUAUAACUUUGAAAGAGUACAGGGAGAUUGCUGGCGAUCUUGUGAAGAAUAUCUACAGAAUACAGACUCUGUCUUAAAGAUAGAAUAAAAUAGACCAUGAACACCGACGAACUGAUCGCUAUUGUGGGUGGUUCUUUAGCGGGAUUGGUGGUGAUCCUGAUUGUUUUGGCAGUCCUCAUCUACUGUGUUUGUGGAAAACGGAAAAAACAUGAGGAAAAACAUCGUCGAUUGCCCCAGAGCGGUAGCCAUGACACAAGUUUAGGAAAAAACAGCAAAUAUGGCAACGGAAUGGACCCACGUAUGGAGCACUCCGACCCUAGGUUACCAAAGGUGGGGACUAAUGGUCUGUGGAUGGGAGCGCCCUCUAUUUACACUCCCGGGAAAUCUCAAAUGUACUACAACGACAAUCAGAGGAAACAGCAACCCGCCAUGCAGAGGGCUAUAUCAGACGACAGACUGUCACCACGUUACAAUCGACAACUGUACAGGCAGAUCAAUAAGGACCGAGAGAUCCGAAGUGGCUCGCUACAAAGACAACCAUAUUACACCAGUUACAAUUAUUACUAUCCUUACUUGGUUUAUCAAGGAAACAGUCAAAUUUACCACAGUCAGCAGGCCCCCUCCUCCUAUGAACAGUACGGACGUCUUCCUAACAGUAACAACUACCUUGAGCUUUAUCCACCGUCCCCUUAUGCCGGGUACCCGUCAGGUGGCUAUGGAGGCGUUCGAGACUUUCUUCCGCUGAGGACAUUUUAUUCUCGAACACUUUUAGUGGAAUAUCCGGACGACCAAGGAGCCAUAUAUGAUCCAUACCGUGACGUAUUUGAAGAUAGAAAGCGCGGGAAGAAGGUUCAACGAACACACAGUGAUUUAACAGGAACCAAACGCAGGAAACGUGAACGUAAGUACGAUUCUCCGUACGAUCUGGAAAACCGAUCGUCCAACAGAGGUAAAAAGGAAACGAGUGACCGACACCAGAAAGGGUCUCUAGAAGGUCGCGUGCCUCGUACAGCGUCAGUAGAGAUUCACGAAAGACAGUCACGUGAUCAUAAACAACGUGAGAUGCGACAGAACAUGAAUGGUGUCAGAGACGAUAAGGAAACCAAACCGGAAGUGAAUGAACAAGAGUUAUCUCAAACAGACAGCGCUAAAUUGAGAGCAAUGCAAGAGAAAAGUAAAGACUUUGUAGACAGCAAACCCGUAUCAACUCAGUGGAAUAAUAAGGAGGAGCUGAGGCUUAACUUGCCGAAAGACAGUGAUGAUGAAGAAGUCGAAGUGAAGCGUUAUGAGUAUAGUGGACACAUCAAACGAGAAAGAGCUCAUUCUAGUGAGAAACAAGAGAACAUUAGGAAUAACCUAAAGGAAAGCACAUUCGUCAGCGUCACAGUCAGGCCAGAUGUGUAUGAAAAGAACGGUCAUGAUAACCCAGUGUUCAGCGGGGAGGAUCCCGUAUCUUCGCGGGCGUCCACCAGGGGCAGGGCUGACAGUAACACUGACGGCAAACAGGUGUCUGCUGCUUUUGACUUCCUGAAUAAUUAUCUGUCAGACGACGAAGGAACAGACUAUCUAGGAAGUCGACCACAUUCUCCGGUACCAUUAUAACACAAGUAAGAAAACCCACCACCAUUAUAACACAAGUAAGAAAACCCACCACCAUUAUAACACAAAAUCAUGUGGAGGUGAAGAAAUGGAUGUGAAAUCAGACACUGCAAACGUGAAUUUCUACAAAAGAAGAAACGCAAUAAUACGUUGUACAUUGUUCAUGAGAUAUUAUAUGCCAGCCAUGUGCCAAAUGUGAUUGCGGAUUUCUCGUCUUUCACAUUUAUACCCACUCCUUCGAUCGACACAAAACACAUCAUCUACAAAGUCACGCCAUUUAGAAAAUAAAUUUCGUAAUGGACCUUAUUUUCAGUUUGCUAGUACCAACGAAACAUAGAUCAUGUACUGUUAUCAAAGUCACUGUGAGUCUAUUUUCUAAACAUAGAAUAUGUACUGUUAUCAAAGUCACUGUGAGUUAUUUUCUCGCUGCUUUCAUUGUUUGAUUGAAUUUUUCUUAUAGCAAUGCUAAUACUCAAAGGACAAGAAAUCAAAAUAUGGACGUGUAUGUUCUAUAUGAUUUUUAUGAAUUGUGUGAAAUUUGUUUGAGUUGUGUGGGUGUGUGAACCAGAAUACGUAUCUUGUACAUGCGUUUCAGAGGUACUAACUGUUCAUGUGUAGACAAGCAUCUGGUAGUCAGAAGUGGACAUUGGAAUUUAUUUCGUUGGAUUCUCUGUUUUCUAUAUCUAAUUUUGAUACAUAAUACAUGUAUUUUCAUACAAGACUUAUCAUAUUCAUUUUGAAUGUCUCUUUUUGUUUUUUAAAAAUUGUGUUAAGAUGGCUUUCACAAGUCUAUACAGGUUGAUUAUAACAACAAAUAUUCAAGACAAUUUUAAAACUAAUGGUUUUAGUCUUUGCAUUAUUUCUUACUUCAAGAAUGUUCACGACUGAGCUUAUUUCCCGUCGUACGUUUUUAAAACUUGAAUGUUUAGAUAAUAUUUCCUACUGUAUUUCAUGUAAUUUUCGAAGAUACAAUUUGAUAACUCACAAAAUUGUUGUUAUAUUGAAGGAAAUAUAUGGAUUUGGUGAGGUUUGAAUUUAACUUCAUAUUCCAUGAGGAAGACUUUCCAUCUUUACCAAGAAGCCACUAUUUCAUAUAAUUACUGUGGAUAAAGAAAAUAUCUAUAAUCAGUUAUCAGACUACGAGAUUUUAUUAUUUAAACAAGGAAUGCGUGGAUGGGAGUUAUCGAACAUUCCCAGGGAAUAUAUUUGUAUGCUUACUAUACAUGUAUAUGAAAUAUGAAAAAUAUCAUUAUCUAAAGAAUCACAUAUAUUUCUUAUGUAAGUUCAUCAUGUAUCCAAUAUUAAGAGCAGUACGCCAUAUAUGUAUUUAUUUUCUAAUAAAGUAAUUAGAAUGCAUA